CCUACGGGAGGCAGCAGUGGGGAAUCUUGCGCAAUGGGCGAAAGUCUGACGCAGCCAUGCCGCGUGAAUGAUGAAGGUCUUAGGAUUGUAAAAUUCUUUCACCGGGGACGAUAAUGACGGUACCCGGAGAAGAAGCCCCGGCUAACUUCGUGCCAGCAGCCGCGGUAAUACGAAGGGGGCUAGCGUUGCUCGGAAUUACUGGGCGUAAAGGGAGCGUAGGCGGAUAGUUUAGUCAGAGGUGAAAGCCCAGGGCUCAACCUUGGAAUUGCCUUUGAUACUGGCUAUCUUGAGUAUGGGAGAGGUUAGCGGAACUCCGAGUGUAGAGGUGAAAUUCGUAGAUAUUCGGAAGAACACCAGUGGCGAAGGCGGCUAACUGGCCCAUUACUGACGCUGAGGCUCGAAAGCGUGGGGAGCAAACAGGAUUAGAUACCCUGGUAGUCCACGCCGUAAACGAUGAGUGCUAGUUAGUCGGUCGAUGCAUGCAUGUCGGUGGUACGCGACGCGUACG
rnacentral:rRNA from 1 species